rnacentral:rRNA from 1 species
AGUGAACGCUGGCGGUAGGCCUAACACAUGCAAGUCGAACGGCAGCACAGUAAGAGCUUGCUCUUACGAGUGGCGCGUGGCGGACGGGUGAGAAAUACAUCGGAAUCUACUUUUUCGUGGGGGCUGACGUAGGGAAACUUACGCUAAUACCGCAUACGACCUACGGUUGAAAGCAGUGGAUAUUCGGACCUUGCGCGAUUGAAUGAGCCGAUUUCGGAUUAGCUAGUUGGCGGGGUAAAGGCCCACCAAGGCGACGAUCCGCAGCUGGCCUGAGAGGAUGAUGAGCCACACUGGAGAUGAGAGACGGUCAAGAGUCCUACGGGAGGCAGCAGUGGGGAAUAUUGGACAAUGGGCGGAAGAAUGAUCCAGCCAUACCGCGUGGGUGAAGAAGGACUUCUGGUUGUAAAGCCAAUUUGUUGGGAAAGAAAAGCAGCAGGUUAAUACACCACUGUUCUGACGGUACCCAAAGAAUAAGCACCGGCUAACUUCGUG